rnacentral:rRNA from 1 species
GAUGAACGCUAGCGGCAGGCUUAAUACAUGCAAGUCGAGGGGCAGCAGGUCCCGCAGCAAUGCGGGAUGCUGGCGACCGGCAAACGGGUGCGGAACACGUACAGAACCUUCCUUCGAGCGGGGAAUAGCCCAGAGAAAUUUGGAUUAAUACCCCAUAGUAUAUUGAUAAGGCAUCUUAUUAAUAUUAAAGAUUUAUCACUUGAAGAUGGCUGUGCGGCUGAUUAGGUAGUUGGCGGGGUAACGGCCCACCAAGCCUGCGAUCAGUAACUGGUGUGAGAGCACGACCAGUCACACGGGCACUGAGACACGGGCCCGACUCCUACGGGAGGCAGCAGUAAGGAAUAUUGGUCAAUGGACGCAAGUCUGAACCAGCCAUGCCGCGUGGAGGAUGAAGGUCCUCUGG